CCUACGGGAGGCAGCAGUGGGGAAUUUUGGACAAUGGGCGCAAGCCUGAUCCAGCAAUGCCGCGUGAGUGAAGAAGGCCUUCGGGUUGUAAAGCUCUUUUGUCAGGGAAGAAACGGGUUUGGCUAAUAUCCAGACCUAAUGACGGUACCUGAAGAAUAAGCACCGGCUAACUACGUGCCAGCAGCCGCGGUAAUACGUAGGGUGCAAGCGUUAAUCGGAAUUACUGGGCGUAAAGCGUGCGCAGGCGGUUUUGUAAGUUUGUCGUGAAAUCCCCGGGCUCAACCUGGGAAUGGCGAUGAAGACUGCAAGGCUAGAGUUUGGCAGAGGGGGGUAGAAUUCCACGUGUAGCAGUGAAAUGCGUAGAUAUGUGGAGGAACACCGAUGGCGAAGGCAGCCCCCUGGGUCAAGACUGACGCUCAUGCACGAAAGCGUGGGGAGCAAACAGGAUUAGAUACCCUGGUAGUCCACGCCCUAAACGAUGUCUACUAGUUGUCGGGUCUUUAUUGACUUGGUAACGCAGCUAACGCGUGAAGUAGACCGCCUGGGGAGUACGGUCGCAAGAUUAAAACUCAAAGGAAUUGACGG
rnacentral:rRNA from 1 species